rnacentral:rRNA from 1 species
GACGAACGCUGGCGGCGUGCUUAACACAUGCAAGUCGAGCGGUAAGGCCUUUCGGGGUACACGAGCGGCGAACGGGCGAGUAACACGCGGGUGAUCUGCCCUGCACUUCGGGAUAAGCCUGGGAAACUGGGUCUAAUACCGGAUAGGACCUCCUAUCGCAUGGUGGGGGGGGGAAAGAUUUAUCGGUGCAGGAUGGGCCCGCGGCCUAUCAGCUUGUUGGUGGGGUAAUGGCCUACCAAGGCGACGACGGGUAGCCGACCUGAGAGGGUGACCGGCCACACUGGGACUGAGACACGGCCCAGACUCCUCCGGGAGGCAGCAGUGGGGAAUAUUGCACAAUGGGCGAAAGCCUGAUGCAGCGCCGCCGCGUGAGGGAUGACGGCCUUCGGGUUGUAAACCUCUUUCAGCAGGGACGAAGCGCAAGUGACGGUACCUGCAGAAGAAGCACCGGCUAACUACGUG